rnacentral:rRNA from 1 species
UGUGAGCUCGAUGAGUAGGGCGGGACACGUGGUAUCCUGUCUGAAUAUGGGGGGACCAUCCUCCAAGGCUAAAUACUCCUGACUGACCGAUAGUGAACCAGUACCGUGAGGGAAAGGCGAAAAGAACCCCGGCGAGGGGAGUGAAAAAGAACCUGAAACCGUGUACGUACAAGCAGUGGGAGCACGCUUAGGCGUGUGACUGCGUACCUUUUGUAUAAUGGGUCAGCGACUUAUAUUCUGUAGCAAGGUUAACCGAAUAGGGGAGCCGAAGGGAAACCGAGUCUUAACUGGGCGUUAAGUUGCAGGGUAUAGACCCGAAACCCGGUGAUCUAGCCAUGGGCAGGUUGAAGGUUGGGUAACACUAACUGGAGGACCGAACCGACUAAUGUUGAAAAAUUAGCGGAUGACUUGUGGCUGGGGGUGAAAGGCCAAUCAAACCGGGAGAUAGCUGGUUCUCCCCGAAAGCUAUUUAGGUAGCGCCUCGUGAAUUCAUCUCCGGGGGUAGAGCACUGUUUCGGCAAGGGGGUCAUCCCGACUUACCAACCCGAUGCAAACUGCGAAUACCGGAGAAUGUUAUCACGGGAGACACACGGCGGGUGCUAACGUCCGUCGUGAAGAGGGAAACAACCCAGACCGCCAGCUAAGGUCCCAAAGUCAUGGUUAAGUGGGAAACGAUGUGGGAAGGCCCAGACAGCCAGGAUGUUGGCUUAGAAGCAGCCAUCAUUUAAAGAAAGCGUAAUAGCUCACUGGUCGAGUCGGCCUGCGCGGAAGAUGUAACGGGGCUAAACCAUGCACCGAAGCUGCGGCAGCGACGCUGAUGCGUUGUUGGGUAGGGGAGCGUUCUGUAAGCCUGCGAAGGUGUGCUGUGAGGCAUGCUGGAGGUAUCAGAAGUGCGAAUGCUGACAUAAGUAACGAUAAAGCGGGUGAAAAGCCCGCUCGCCGGAAGACCAAGGGUUCCUGUCCAACGUUAAUCGGGGCAGGGUGAGUCGACCCCUAAGGCGAGGCCGAAAGGCGUAGUCGAUGGGAAACAGGUUAAUAUUCCUGUACUUGGUGUUACUGCGAAGGGGGGACGGAGAAGGCUAUGUUGGCCGGGCGACGGUUGUCCCGGUUUAAGCGUGUAGGCUGGUUUUCCAGGCAAAUCCGGAAAAUCAAGGCUGAGGCGUGAUGACGAGGCACUACGGUGCUGAAGCAACAAAUGCCCUGCUUCCAGGAAAAGCCUCUAAGCAUCAGGUAACAUCAAAUCGUACCCCAAACCGACACAGGUGGUCAGGUAGAGAAUACCAAGGCGCUUGAGAGAACUCGGGUGAAGGAACUAGGCAAAAUGGUGCCGUAACUUCGGGAGAAGGCACGCUGAUAUGUAGGUGAAGCCCCUUGCUCGUGGAGCUGAAAUCAGUCGAAGAUACCAGCUGGCUGCAACUGUUUAUUAAAAACACAGCACUGUGCAAACACGAAAGUGGACGUAUACGGUGUGACGCCUGCCCGGUGCCGGAAGGUUAAUUGAUGGGGUCAGCGCAAGCGAAGCUCUUGAUCGAAGCCCCGGUAAACGGCGGCCGUAACUAUAACGGUCCUAAGGUAGCGAAAUUCCUUGUCGGGUAAGUUCCGACCUGCACGAAUGGCGUAAUGAUGGCCAGGCUGUCUCCACCCGAGACUCAGUGAAAUUGAACUCGCUGUGAAGAUGCAGUGUACCCGCGGCAAGACGGAAAGACCCCGUGAACCUUUACUAUAGCUUGACACUGAACAUUGAGCCUUGAUGUGUAGGAUAGGUGGGAGGCUUUGAAGUGUGGACGCCAGUCUGCAUGGAGCCGACCUUGAAAUACCACCCUUUAAUGUUUGAUGUUCUAACGUGGACCCGUAAUCCGGGUUGCGGACAGUGUCUGGUGGGUAGUUUGACUGGGGCGGUCUCCUCCUAAAGAGUAACGGAGGAGCACGAAGGUUGGCUAAUCCUGGUCGGACAUCAGGAGGUUAGUGCAAUGGCAUAAGCCAGCUUGACUGCGAGCGUGACGGCGCGAGCAGGUGCGAAAGCAGGUCAUAGUGAUCCGGUGGUUCUGAAUGGAAGGGCCAUCGCUCAACGGAUAAAAGGUACUCCGGGGAUAACAGGCUGAUACCGCCCAAGAGUUCAUAUCGACGGCGGUGUUUGGCACCUCGAUGUCGGCUCAUCACAUCCUGGGGCUGAAGUAGGUCCCAAGGGUAUGGCUGUUCGCCAUUUAAAGUGGUACGCGAGCUGGGUUUAGAACGUCGUGAGACAGUUCGGUCCCUAUCUGCCGUGGGCGCUGGAGAACUGAGGGGGGCUGCUCCUAGUACGAGAGGACCGGAGUGGACGCAUCACUGGUGUUCGGGUUGUCAUGCCAAUGGCACUGCCCGGUAGCUAAAUGCGGAAGAGAUAAGUGCUGAAAGCAUCUAAGCACGAAACUUGCCCCGAGAUGAGUUCUCCCUGACUCCUUGAGAGUCCUGAAGGAACGUUGAAGACGACGACGUUGAUAGGCCGGGUGUGUAAGCGCAGCGAUGCGUUGAGCUAACCGGUACUAAUGAACCGUGAGGCUUAACCUU